GGGAAAUCGAAUUUAGCUACACUGAGCACAGCUGUUCAACGGAGGAAUCGGCAGAUGGACAUGACGGAGACAAGAACCGUGUGUAGUCUCUGAAACAGGAGAAGUGGUAUCGUGCCUCACCAGCCACUAGGUCCCUGUCACGAAUGUGUAGAAGCAGACUCUCAUCCUGUCUUUCUUCAGCAGCAAGAAGUAACUUCCCUGCAUGUUCACUGCAGCUAGAUGGGCAAAUGACUCCCUCCUGUGAUGGAAUCAAGUGGAUUCAGCGUUCAAGAUUCAGAUUUGAAGUUCAAGAUCCACAUUUACAGUUUCACACUGCAUGUUUGAUACCAACCUUCUGUUCCAUUUUCCUUUUGAAUUAAAGCUUCCUUUUCUCUUCUC